AAAAUUAGAGUCUUAAGUCUAGAUUAGUAGUAGCUAUGUUCUUGAAAAUUAAAAAAGUUGGCGGUAUUUUAGUCCAUUCAGAGGAACCUGUCCUGUAAUUGAUAUCCCACGAUUUAAAAUACCUAUAUUUUUAGUUUGUAUAUCGCCGUAGGUGGAAUAUUUUUAUUGAAUUUUUAAUAUUCAGAAAAUUUUAGGAUAGGAAUUCAGGUCAAGAUGUAGUUUAUAUAAAGGAAGAGAUGGGUUACAGCAAUAGAAUUUUUGGAUAUAUUUUUGUUAGGAGAUAGGAAAGAGGAUUUGAAAGUAAUUAAAAAGUAAGAUUUUUUUGAUGAUUUUGGCUCUAGAAU
rnacentral:rRNA from 1 species